AACAGGAUUAGAUACCCUGGUAGUCCACGCCGUAAACGUUGGGCGCUAGGUGUGGGGGCCAUUCCACGGUCUCCGUGCCGCAGCUAACGCAUUAAGCGCCCCGCCUGGGGAGUACGGCCGCAAGGCUAAAACUCAAAGGAAUUGACGGGGGCCCGCACAAGCGGCGGAGCAUGUUGCUUAAUUCGAUGCAACGCGAAGAACCUUACCUAGGCUUGACAUGUGCGGAAAUCCUCCAGAGAUGGUGGGUCCGUAAGGGUCGCACACAGGUGGUGCAUGGUUGUCGUCAGCUCGUGUCGUGAGAUGUUGGGUUAAGUCCCGCAACGAGCGCAACCCUCGUCCCAUGUUGCCAGCGGGUUAUGCCGGGGACUCAUGGGAGACUGCCGGGGUCAACUCGGAGGAAGGUGGGGAUGACGUCAAAUCAUCAUGCCCCUUAUGUCUAGGGCUGCAAACAUGCUACAAUGGCCGGUACAAAGGGCUGCGAUACCGCGAGGUGGAGCGAAUCCCAAAAAGCCGGUCUCAGUUCGGAUUGGGGUCUGCAACUCGACCCCAUGAAGUUGGAGUCGCUAGUAAUCGCAGAUCAGCAACGCUGCGGUGAAUACGUUCCCGGGCCUUGUACACACCGCCCGUCACGUCACGAAAGUCGGUAACGCCCGAAGCCGGUGGCCCAACCCUUGUGGAGGGAGCCGUCGAAGGCGGGAUCGGCGAUUGGGACGAAGUCGUAACAAGGUAACC
rnacentral:rRNA from 1 species